AUUGCUUCUCGGCCUUUUGGCUAAGAUCAAGUGUAGUAUCUGUUCUUAUCAAAUGCAACAUUCACACAGGAAAGAACACAAACUUUAAGUAUAUAGUUUGACCAAUUUUUACGAAGUUGAUACACUUCUAUAAUCUCCAUGCAAUUGAAGAUAUAGAACAUUAUU
rnacentral:snRNA from 1 species